rnacentral:piRNA from 1 species
UAUAGCUGUAAAGAAUGUGGGAAUGCCUU